GCCAGUGUGCUCUAAUGGUUUGAGUGUUGGACUACAACUCUGGAAGAUCAGGGUUCAAAUCCCCACUCUGCCA